GACGAACGCUGGCGGCGUGCUUAACGCAUGCAAGUCGAACGGAAAGGCCCUGCUUUUGUGGGGUGCUUGAGUGGCGAACGGGUGAGUAACACGUGAGUAACCUGCCCUUGACUUUGGGAUAACUUCAGGAAACUGGGGCUAAUACCGGAUAGGAGCUCCUGCUGCAUGGUGGGGGUUGGAAAGUUUCGGCGGUUGGGGAUGGACUCGCGGCUUAUCAGCUUGUUGGUGGGGUAGUGGCUUACCAAGGCUUUGACGGGUAGCCGGCCUGAGAGGGUGACCGGCCACAUUGGGACUGAGAUACGGCCCAGACUCCUACGGGAGGCAGCAGUGGGGAAUAUUGCACAAUGGGCGGAAGCCUGAUGCAGCAACGCCGCGUGCGGGAUGACGGCCUUCGGGUUGUAAACCGCUUUCGCCUGUGACGAAGCGUGAGUGACGGUAAUGGGUAAAGAAGCACCGGCUAACUACGUG
rnacentral:rRNA from 1 species